rnacentral:lncRNA from 1 species
AGCCUUUUGAAAACCUUCAAGGAAACCAACUAAAACUGGACUACUUAGUACAUUUGAACUAGUAUAAAAAAAAUAUUUCACUUCUUGCCACAGGAAACUUGGAUGCAAUGUUUUUAUCUUCUUAUUGUUGUAGGUUUUUCAUUAGUUAUUUUAUAAACAUAAUAUAACUUAUCAGUAAUAGCAUUGGGUACUUGAUUACAUGUAUGGGAAGUUAAGUCGCCAUCUGUGUUUAAGGUUCACAGAUACUAUACCUUCCAUUUAGGUAUAGUAACGUCCCCGCCAUACAUAUCAGUAUCUGCUAUUACUGGUA